rnacentral:rRNA from 1 species
AACGAACGCUGGCGGCAGGCUUAACACAUGCAAGUCGAACGGGUGUAGCAAUACAUCAGUGGCAGACGGGUGAGUAACACGUGGGAACCUUCCUCGUUGUACGGAACAACUCAGGGAAACUUGAGCUAAUACCGUAUACGUCCGAGAGGAGAAAGAUUUAUCGCAAUGAGACGGGCCCGCGUCGGAUUAGCUAGUUGGUAAGGUAACGGCUUACCAAGGCGACGAUCCGUAGCUGAUCUGAGAGGAUGAUCAGCCACACUGGGACUGAGACACGGCCCAGACUCCUACGGGAGGCAGCAGUGGGGAAUCUUGGACAAUGGGCGCAAGCCUGAUCCAGCCAUGCCGCGUGAGUGAAGAAGGCCUUCGGGUUGUAAAGCUCUUUUGUCAGGGACGAUAGUGACGGUACCUGAAGAAUAAGCCCCGGCAAACUUCGUGCCAGCCGCCGCCGUAACAC